rnacentral:lncRNA from 1 species
GGGGAGGGAGGGAGGCCGCGGGAGCUGGAAGGCUGGCGGAAGCUGUGUCACAGCGCGCCCCUGCGCCCACCACCCAGACAAGAGAGAUCUAAGUCAUGCUGCCCUCUGCUGGCCGCAGCGGGCAUGAUGGAGUACUGACCGUGGGCACCUGGCAGGCGUUGGGCAGGAGAUGGAGCUGAGGGCAGGAGGCGAAGGCAGGAGAAUCCAGGCGACCCUGGGGCUUUUCUGCUGGGGCACUGUUCCCCCUGUGGCAGGGCCAUCCACAGAGGGGCUGGCGGAAGUGGGAGGACGAGUGCAUUCCACAGAGAUGGGAUUUGAACCUGGGCAUUCUGGCACGGGCCACGCUCUGGACCACUGGGCCCCAGAUCCACAGCUUCUCACCUGCAGCCGCUGAGGAUGUGGAGGCAGACCAGGCAGGCCCGUGGGAAGGACCACCAAAAAGGCAGGAGACUCGCUUGAACCCAGGAGGCCGAGGUUGCGGUGAGCCAAGAUCGAGCCAUUGCACUCCAGCCUGGGCAACAAAAGCGAAACUCUGUCUCAAAAAAAAAAAAAAAAAAAAAAAAAGAAAGGGGAGACGGAGACACGGACACACCCAGAGGGAGAGCGCCGUGUGGAGACAGAGGCUGAGGCCGACCUGCCGUGGCAGAAGCCAGGGAAGCCCGCAGAUGGGCAGCAGAGCAGAAGCUGGGACAGAGGCCCCGAGCGGAGGCACCUUCUCGGUCCUUGGCAGAAGCCCGCCCUGCCUGCGCCUUCCUCUCGGACUGCUAUUCCCCGAGCCGGGAGAGAGGCCAUCUCUGCUGGGAAAGCCACUCAAAGUUUGUAACGCUUUGUGACCGCAGCCACAGGAUGCUAAUGAAGCCACCUGACUGUCCCCUCCUGAAGGGUGGGGCCUGGGCCUUGCCCCAUCUCGCAUACCCGGCUCCCUGAGCAUAUGUGGCCCUGCGCGCAGGGGCCCCAUGAGCUUGCCCGCUGCCCCUGCCUGCUUGUGCUGCCCGGGGCCAGCCUGGAAACCACCUUCCUUGGACUCACUGGUGAUCAGCUCCCCCGACAUCCUAGGAGGGGCCGCUGCGAGCGGAGAGGGACCCCUCACACCAUACAGACAAACCAACCCAGAGCACAUCACAGGCUGAUGUGUAGUGUGGCCCAAAGUAUGAAACUCUCAGAAGAAAAUGGGAUAAAACUUCACGACCUUGGAUAUGGCAAUAGUUCCUUCACUAGGACACCAAAAGCAUGAGCAACAAGAGAAAAACAGAUCAACUGAACCUCAUUCAACUCAACACUUUUGUGCACCAAAGGACAAUAUCGAGACAGUGAAAAAGACAACCUACAGACUGGGAGAAAACUCUGGACUGGUGAACCACACAUCUGAUGAGGGUGCAGUAUCCAGAAUAUACAAAGAGCUUUUAC